UACGGGGGGGGCAAGCGUUGUUCGGAAUUACUGGGCGUAAAGGGCUCGUAGGCGGCCAACUAAGUCGGAUGUGAAAUCCCCAGGCUCAACUUGGGAACUGCAUCCGAUACUGGAUGGCUUGAAUUCGGGAGAGGGAUGCAGAAUUCCAGGUGUAGCGGUGAAAUGCGUAGAUAUCUGGAGGAAUACCGGUGGCGAAGGCGGCAUCCUGGACCGACAUUGACGCUGAUGAGCGAAAGCUAGGGGAGCAAACCGG
rnacentral:rRNA from 1 species